UCCCUAGUGGUCCAGUGGUUAAGACUUUGUGCUUCCACUGUAGGGGGCCCAGGUUCGAUCCCUAGCUGGGGAC
rnacentral:tRNA from 1 species